GCGAGAAUAUUCGACAAUGGACGAAAGCCUGAUCCAGCCAUGCCGCGUGAGUGACGAAGGCCUUAGGGUUGUAAAACUCUUUCGUCGGGGACGAUAAUGACGGUACCCGAAGAAGAAGCUCCGGCUAACUUCGUGCCAGCAGCCGCGGUAAUACGAAGGGAGCUAGCGUUGUUCGGAAUUACUGGGCGUAAAGCGCAUGAAGGUGGUGAAGUAAGCCGGAUGUGAAAUCCCAGGGCUUAACCCUGGAAGUGCAUCCGGGACUGCUUUGCUCGAGUCCGGAAGAGGAGGGCGGAAUUCCCAGUGUAGAGGUGAAAUUCGUAGAUAUUGGGAAGAACACCAGUGGCGAAGGCGGCUCUCUGGUCCGGUACUGACACUUUAGUGCGAAAGCGUGGGGAGCAAACAGGAUUAGAUACCCUGGUAGUCCCUGAGCGGGCUGGCAAGGCGCAU
rnacentral:rRNA from 1 species